rnacentral:rRNA from 1 species
CAGUAGCCGCGGGAACACGAAGGGUGCAAGCGUUAAUCGGAAUUACAGGGCGUAAAGCGUGCGUAGGUGGUGGUUUAAGUCCGUUGUGAAAGCCCUGGGCUCAACCUGGGAAUUGCAGUGGAUACUGGGUCACUAGAGUGUGGUAGAGGAUAGUGGAAUUUCCGGUGUAGCAGUGAAAUGCGUAGAGAUCGGAAGGAACAUCUGUGGCGAAGGCGACUAUCUGGGCCAACACUGACACUGAGGCACGAAAGCGUGGGGAGCAAACAGGAUUAGAUACCCGGGUAGUCCCUGUCUCUUAUAC